rnacentral:snoRNA from 1 species
CUCAGCUGUAGGCAACUUGCCUAGGUUGCCUUCUACUAGGCAAGUUUUACACUGUUGGAGGAAAGGAGCCAUUAGCUGGUGGCAUGCUGGGCCUGGUUAACGCCAAAUUAGUGUUAAUUCUACUAGUAUGCCAGCAUA